AUUGAACGCUGGCGGCAGGCCUAACACAUGCAAGUCGAGCGGAUGAAGGGAGCUUGCUCCUGGAUUCAGCGGCGGACGGGUGAGUAAUGCCUAGGAAUCUGCCUGGUAGUGGGGGAUAACGUCCGGAAACGGGCGCUAAUACCGCAUACGUCCUGAGGGAGAAAGUGGGGGAUCUUCGGACCUCACGCUAUCAUAUGAGCCUAGGUCGGAUUAGCUAGUUGGUGGGGUAAAGGCCUACCAAGGCGACGAUCCGUAACUGGUCUGAGAGGAUGAUCAGUCACACUGUGACUGAGAAACGGUCCAGACACCUACGGGAGGCAGCAGUGGGGAAUAUUGGACAAUGGGCGAAAGCCUGAUCCAGCCAUGCCGCGUGUGUGAAGAAGGUCUUCGGAUUGUAAAGAACUUUAAGUUGGGAGGAAGGGCAGUAAGUUAAUACCUUGCUGUUUUGACGUUACCAACAGAAUAAGCACCGGCUAACUUCGUG
rnacentral:rRNA from 1 species